rnacentral:lncRNA from 1 species
UAUCAGACUGCACAUCAAACACCGCGUUCCUUGUUUUCAAAUUUGACUUGUGCUUGUUUUUAACCGUUUUGCAACAGUCUCCACAAAACCAAGUCUACAGAGAAAGAAGCCUUACUCGUACGGCAGAUUCCUUAAUUAAAUUUUCUAUCAGAGCCUUUUGCUUACCCAAUCAUGGUGGUAAUAACUUUGGAUUUGGUGAAAAAUAAUCUGUGAGAUAUAUAAGUUCGUCAUGACCAAGGUAAGAAAUAACCAAGUUCGGUUCCAAACAUUUAAUAUUUUAUUAACAAUCAGUUUAUAAUAUUAUGUUUUAUGUUUGUUUCUCCCCUGAUAAAAAGCAAACGGUAUUUAUUUCAAAAAUUAAGACAAAUACAGACUUUAAACAUAAAAUAUAAGUUGUAUAGAAUUCUGAGUUACGGACCUAAGGCUAUAAUUCAUUCGGAUCCGACCAAAUCAGUAAAAUGAACAUUAAUUAUUUUUUUGAUAACAAUAAAUAUUACUAUUUAUGUAGAUUAUUGAUUUAUUUCUUACUCAGAUUUGCCUCAAACCUAUAAUAAGAGUAAAAAUACUGAAAAAAUGGAAAUCCAAAAUUCUCAUAACCUGAUUUGAUACAAAAUAACAAAACAAAAACAAAUAACAGAUUCUAUGGGAGUCCACGGGAUUAUGAUUCGUAAUCAACAGUUUAAGUGCAACUAUAAUUGAAUAUGGAAUUAUAAAAAAUAAAUUGUGUUAUGAUUUAUUUACAUAGUUAAUAUUUCUUAGUUUGUUAGAUUCAUGACAUUUGAACUUCUUAUUAUACUUGAUACAUAAAAAUUUUUAAAGAGAGGAUGGCAAAAUAUGGUGAAAAGUCACGUGGAUAUCAUGCAAUUAAGAAUUAUAUUUUUCAUCAAUUAACCAUUGUUCUCAUAUUAUUAUAAUUAAAAUGACACGGUGUAACCUUGAAUAAAAAUAUUUUGUUUCAGGAUUUUUUGCCUCACGUAUAUUUUGCCUUAAUGUAUAAAUAAAUGAGAUUUAUACGUCGUUUUGUCUAUUUUUGGUUAAAAUUGAUGUACUUUUUGAAAAAAACAAAAACAAAUAUGGGAUGUGUCUUACUAUAAAACACAAUAAAUGGUUGCUUUUUGUUGGAAAAACGAUGGAAUCAUGGCCCAAAAUUUCAAU